rnacentral:snRNA from 1 species
AGCCUUGCACAGUGGCAGUGUUGUAGCCAAUGAGGUUUAUCUGAGACGCAAUUAUUGCUAGUUAAUAUAUC